rnacentral:tRNA from 11 species
GGUGGCCUAGUGGUUGAGACGACCGCCUGGCAACCCAAGGGGACGUGGGUUCCAGCC